rnacentral:rRNA from 1 species
CAGUCGCCGCGGGAAUACGGAGGGCGCGAGCGUUACCCGGAUUUACUGGGCGUAAAGGGCGUGUAGGCGGCCUGGGGCGUCCCAUGUGAAAGGCCACGGCUCAACCGUGGAGGAGCGUGGGAUACGCUCAGGCUAGAGGGUGGGAGAGGGUGGUGGAAUUCCCGGAGUAGCGGUGAAAUGCGCAGAUACCGGGAGGAACGCCGAUGGCGAAGGCAGCCACCUGGUCCACUUCUGACGCUGAGGCGCGAAAGCGUGGGGAGCAAACCGGAUUAGAUACCCGCGUAGUCCCUGUCUCUUAUAC